GCCGCUGUAGGUACGAUUCAGGCUGAUGUGCUCACGCCUCUGCUUAUCUGACUACCAACAGUGCCACCUAAAGCUUCGAUCCAACACAGGGUGAUGCUGUCCGCAACCGAGGAGCCACCUUGCCCUCUGCAUCCAGAGGUUCUGCCCCGCCAUCCCUCUUCCACCACCGGCGACGGCUCUCCCCUCCCCUGCUCGUCUUGCCUCGCCCCCAAAUUCAGCCCGUGCAGGUAAGCUUGAAAAUAGAUUCCUUCUAUCUUUUCUGCUUCAUAUGUUAUUUCUCGUUUGUCCAUGAAUGUGAUUUCCCAUGUAAUCUUGUUGGCUCUUGUCCAUGAAUGUGAUUUCCCAUGUAAUCUUGUUGGCUCAACGACGAACUAAACAAGAUCAUAUCAGUUCGUUGGAGAUUGAAGAUUUCAGAGUGCUAACCAUCCAUCUCUCAUUUCAGAGUGCAAAUUUUCGUUCUUGAUUAGCACCAUCAUGUUAUUGUAAUGUUGUUUUUGUUGUUGUUGAUUUGGGAUGUGUUCUGCGACACGUGUUGUUUCAGAGAAUGGUUUCUAUAAGAUUGUGCAUGACGAUUACUAGAUUUGUGCGCCAUGCCUUGGCCUGGGUGUUUCGUGAAUUCAGUGAGAUGCAUUAUAUUUCUCUUGCUCUUCCAUGGGUGUCAUGCCUAUCUAGAAACAUGCUACUGAUUUUAGUUCAGGCUAGCUUCCUUCUCAUAAGUAGAACUUUGCUUGAUAUCAACUUUAAUGAGGUUUGACUAUUGUUGGGGAUGUUCUGAAGCUCGUGGACUGUAUGCUUGUAGCUGCGCUCAACCUGCCAGGCCACUCCCUUCUCUUAUCACAUUUAUAUCCAGCAUUAAUUCUCAGGUUUCAGUAUUUACUAAUUACUACUACCUUUGUAAUGAUUAGAUCUCAAUCUUCCUAUUUCCCUUUGCAGGCUGGAAGGAUCCCCAACCAUGCUGGGUGCUAAUGCUUGAGGUAUGUACUGGAUGGAUUUGCUCAGCUAAAGAAACAAAUUGCAAUCAUGAAGUGUGUCGGCAAUUGGUUCAUAGUGGCUAGAAGCCUUUUUUUUAGUCUCAAACUUCCUGGGGGAGACCAGCGUGAUAUUUGUGCUUCACAUGAGAUCAUGCUAUCCAGCCACCUGGACCAUCUGAUGUGUUAAGGUUGAAAGUCUGUCCGUUCUACACAAAACCCCAUAUUUUUAUCUCUGUUUUGCAUGUGAUCCCACCACUUGUAUGGUUUUGAAUAAACCACCAGUGUGAACGUUACAUUUGCUAGUUCGGUACUCAUCCAUGUUCAGGCUGUAUCAUGUAGUGUACUCUGUAUAUUGCUUAAAAAGAAAACCAUACUCUGUAUUUUGCUAAAAAAAAGGGUUCUACUCUGCAAAUGCAAUCCAAUACUCAGUGAAAAUAUUCAAAAACUGUGUUACGCAAUUUUCACCAAACCUGCACGUUCCAUACCUAAAUUUUCAACAGCUCGAUCAGUAAUAGAAAAAAAACAAUAAGUGUUCAUUCAUAGUUUUCAGACAAAAUGUUUAAACGAUAGUUGGUAUUGUUAAGGCUCCCCUGUUACUUCUCAAAGCAACCACACCUUUUGUAGCAAAGUGUAUUAACCAACAGAGCCAAAUGUGAAAUAUAUAUAACUUUAUUAAUUGUUAGUAUGCAAAACCAAUAGCAGCUAAGUUCUGCUUAUGCUAAUAGUCUACAUGUUACUUUGAUGUUGAUGCUGCAUGCUCUGCUGCCAAUUUGAUUCUGCAUUCAGUACAUGUGAGUGAAGAAAGAAAGUGUUGUUUCUUUUCAGGCUAGUAAAGCAUCAUUGUGCAAUUCUGGAACAACUAUCACAUAUGUAUGGAACUAAUGCUAGCAAUGUAGCCGCCUGAGGAAGAGGAUGGAACUUUAUUUUCCUGCCUAACAUUUUGGAAUCUCCUUUUUAUAUGCCAUGCUUUUUUGAGCUAGUACAGAUAAAGAUCUAGCCGCAAAGAUAAGGUAAUUUGUUUCUAAUCUACUACACCUUAUAUGUUCAGUGGUACAAAGGGAACUUCUAUAUAUGCAAAUAUUCUCAACUGCAACAAAAUUGUUCAGUUGAGCUACUAAACUUGCUGACAGGAUAAUGCUCAGGGUUAGCAACUUGAAAUUUUUCUAGUUAACUAAAUAAAAUAUUCUGACAGUUUAAAAGUAUUUGUUUCAGCUAGACCACACCCUGUUUGUGUCAGUCCUAUAUUCUCCAGUUACACUAAGAACAUAAGUACACCAGUACGAGUUUGUUUAGGCCUCUACAACAUUGUGGCCAUAGUGGGUGGAUUAGGAUGCAACAUCUGUUUGUAUCCGUUGGUAUGGACAUUUUGCUGCUUGCUAGGAAAUGUUCGUCUCCAGUGUUGAACUGCUGGCCGAUGGUAAUUCUGACAGUUGAAUUUGCAUUGCUAACAUAUCCUGGUAUAUAUUUAGGAUCCUACGCUACUUAUUUAGAUUAUAAACUAAUUUGUCAUGUUAAUGUUUUAUGCCGGUAUAUGUGCCUGCUUACACCCAGAUUUGUUUUGCCUUAUGCAGAAACUACUGGAUACUUGCAUCAAGCUUGACCAAGUAUGUCCAGUAUUGCUUUAGACAUUAGUUAUCUUCCUAGUGUUAUUAUACCUGGCGAUAGAGCUCCAUUGGUUUCUUUAGGCGACAUGCCUGAUUCAUUUAUUACUCUGUAGAGUGAGUGCGUAAAGUUUUUUUUUCCUUUUAUGACUAUUUGGUGCUUUUACCCAACAAGGCAGUAUGUUCUUUUGCAGGGACAAAUGGCAGAAAAUAACAAGUCCACAAGUUGAUCUAAGAUGUUCCGCGAUCGCUUUUGUUCAUAACAUGGUUGACACCUUUUGAUCAUACGAAAGUUGAUGUUGGCUUGGUGAUUGAAGACUUGGUCUCUUCCAUAAUAUUUUGUAGUAGUCAAGUGAUCAAACAAUUGGUCUCUUAGGUUCUUAGCCAUCAAAUUUUGCAACAACUUGUCUUGUAUGUCAACUUAUGUAUUUCCUUCAUGGUUGUUAGCUAACAUGAGUGAAGAAAACAAAUGAAUCUUUAUAUAUGUUGAAUGACAUGUUGUGAUGAAUAGAAGACUGCCAUUGUUUGUAUAUGCAUUGUGUACUGAACAUGAAUUAAAUAUUAUGAACGUGAUCUAAUAUUAAAAUAUGG
rnacentral:lncRNA from 1 species